rnacentral:rRNA from 1 species
CCACCUUUCANCACGGGAUCUCUUGGCUCUCGCAUCGAUGAAGAACGCAGCGAAAUGCGAUAAGUAAUGUGAAUUGCAGAAUUCAGUGAAUCAUCGAAUCUUUGAACGCACCUUGCGCUCUUUGGUAUUCUGAGGAGCAUGCCUGUUUGAGUGUCAUUAA